rnacentral:lncRNA from 1 species
CUGACACACCUGUGCUGACAUUAGGAGUGGUCCUGGGCUUGGGACAGAGGACCAGUGGAGUUUCUUUUUUCACAGGCCUGAGCAUCGACAUUAGCCACAUCAGCAAUCCUUCCUCUUCAGUCUGAAUCCAAGUGCAGAAAUACUCAGGGAUCAGGACAACUCUAGUCAAAGAUCUGCUUUGUGCUUGUGCGGUGGACCAUUGCUCCAGACAAGGAUGCAAGUGGUUGGUUCUGAGGGGAA